CACGUAGGGUGCGAGCGUUGUCCGGAAUUAUUGGGCGUAAAGAGCUCGUAGGCGGUGUGUCGCGUCGGCCGUGAAAACCUGUGGCUUAACCAUGGGCUUGCGGUCGAUACGGGCAGACUAGAGUACUGCAGGGGAGACUGGAAUUCCUGGUGUAGCGGUGGAAUGCGCAGAUAUCAGGAGGAACACCGGUGGCGAAGGCGGGUCUCUGGGCUGUAACUGACGCUGAGGAGCGAAAGCAUGGGGAGCGAACAGG
rnacentral:rRNA from 1 species